rnacentral:tRNA from 1 species
AAAUAAGAAGCUAAUUAAAGCAUUUAGUUUCGACCUAAAAAAUUGAAUUUAAAUAUUCCUUAUUUA